rnacentral:rRNA from 1 species
UAAAGCUUCAAACUGGGAUUAGAUACCCCACUAUUCUUGGUUUUAAAUUAACUAAGAUUUACCAGAGUACUACGAAUUAAUAAAAUUUAAAACUCUAAGGGCUUGGCGGUGUUUUAGACCUUUCAGGGGAACUUGUCUCAUAAUCGACAAUCCACGUUAUACCUAACCUUUUUUAGUACUCAGUUUGUAUAUCGUCGUCGUCAGGUAACUUUUUAGAAUUUAGAAGUUAGCAACUGAAAUUUAAAUUAAAUUCAAACGUCAGAUCAAGAUGCAGCUAAUAAAAAGGUGAUGAUGAGUUACAAUUAAUAAAUUUGUAAAUAUGAAUAAAUUAAUGAAAAAUUAGUUUUGAAGGUGGACUUGAAAGUAAAAUAAAAUAUAUAAAUAUCUUGAAUAAGGCUCUGAAACAUGCACACACCGCCCGUCACCCUCUGCAGUCAAAUAG